rnacentral:tRNA from 1 species
GGAGAGUUAUCGAAGUGGUCAUAACGAGCUCGACUCGAAAUCGAGUUGUCGGCUAAUAACCGGCACGUGGGUUCAAAUCCCACACUCUCCG